GUAGGCGGUUCAGCAAGCCUGGUGUGAAAGUCCUCGGCCCAACCGGGGGAUGGCACUGGGAACUGCUGGGCUUGAGUUCUGGAGGGGGAGCUGGAAUUCCUGGUGUAGGGGUGAAAUCUGUAGAGAUCAGGAAGAACACCGGUGGCGAAGGCGGGCUCCUGGCCAGACACUGACGCUGAGGCGCGAAAGCGUGGGGAGCGAACAGGAUUAGAUACCCUGGUAGUCCACGCUGUAAACGAUGUGCACUAGGUGUUGGGGCGUUUGAAGCCUCGGUGCCGUAGCCAACGUGGUAAGUGCACCGCCUGGGGAGUAUGCUCGCAAGGGUGAAACUCAAAGGAAUUGACGGGGGCCCGCACAAGCGGUGGAGUAUGUGGUUUAAUUCGAUGAUACGCGAGGAACCUUACCAGGGUUUGACAUGUGCAUGGCGGUCUGUGAGAACAGGCUUUCCCGCAAGGGACGUGUACACAGGUGCUGCAUGGUUGUCGUCAGCUCGUGUCGUGAGAUGUUGGGUUAAGUCCCGCAACGAGCGCAACCCCUACUGUCUGUUGCCAGCGGGUUAUGCUGGGCACUCGGACGGAACUGCCGGUGACAAACCGGAGGAAGGUGGGGAUGACGUCAAAUCAUCAUGGCCCUUAUGUCCUGGGCUACACACGUACUACAAUGGCCGGUACAGCGCGGAUGCGAAACGGUGACGUAGAGCGAAUCGCUAAAAGCCGGUCUCAGUUCGGAUUGGAGUCUGAAACUCGACUCCAUGAAGG
rnacentral:rRNA from 1 species